GUGAGUAAGUAAACGUUUUUAAUUGCUUAUUAUACCUUUUUAUACUGGCCUUAUCUCCCAUGUUUUUGUUUUUUUUUCAUUAUAUUAUGUUUCACUUGCACGAGUAAAAUGAUUUAUUCUCAAUCAAAUGAAGUUUCAACAGACGCUGAAUCUUAGAGGUGAUGGUGUACGGGUGGCAUAAUAUGUAUACCGCACCCGCGACCCGCAUAGGUACCACAACCCGUAGUUCCGGAGAUUCAAAAGACAUAACCGGCCAACGAAAUUGGCAAAAAGACCCCCGCUCCCACGCCUGAAAGGCAACCUCGUGGGAAACUCGUCCCUCCACGGCUCCGCUACAAUCACCACCAGUUGACCAAAUGGAGGCGGUAGAGGAGGAGGAGGUUGUGUUUGUGGAGGUAAACGCUCCUGAGGAUACGUCAACGUUAUGCAGCACGCUGGCAUGGUGGCAAACGUCGACGUCACUAAGGAUGCACGGUUUAAGAUAGAAUAAAUAAAGAUUGAUUUCUAUCCUAAACCCGUGCUAAGGAUAUGAGUAACGCAAGCUUAAAAUGUUUGGGUGUGAGGAUUCCAACAAUUAUGUAAUUUGCAGGAAGAGUCUUUACACGGUAAUGAAGAAUAUUGUAUUCAAUUGAAAACUUCGUUGCAUACCAAAUUGUGGUUGCAUAUAAUUUAUUUUGUGUUUUUCAUCUGAAUAAAAACCAUUUUAUUUUUUACCACA